GACCGGCGCACGGGUGCGUAACGCGUAUGCAAUCUACCUUUCACAAAGGGAUAGCCCAGAGAAAUUUGGAUUAAUACCUCAUAGUAAUACGACUUGGCAUCAAGGUGUAUUUAAAGAUUUAUCGGUGAAAGAUGAGCAUGCGUCCCAUUAGCUAGUUGGUAUGGUAACGGCAUACCAAGGCUACGAUGGGUAGGGGUCCUGAGAGGGAGAUCCCCCACACUGGUACUGAGACACGGACCAGACUCCUACGGGAGGCAGCAGUGAGGAAUAUUGGACAAUGGGCGCAAGCCUGAUCCAGCCAUGCCGCGUGCAGGAUGACGGUCCUAUGGAUUGUAAACUGCUUUUAUACAGGAAGAAACACCUCUACGUGUAGAGACUUGACGGUACUGUAAGAAUAAGGAUCGGCUAACUCCGUGCCAGCAGCCGCGGUAAUACGGAGGAUCCAAGCGUUAUCCGGAAUCAUUGGGUUUAAAGGGUCCGUAGGCGGUCAGAUAAGUCAGUGGUGAAAGCCCAUCGCUCAACGGUGGAACGGCCAUUGAUACUGUCUGACUUGAAUUAUUAGGAAGUAACUAGAAUAUGUAGUGUAGCGGUGAAAUGCUUAGAGAUUACAUGGAAUACCAAUUGCGAAGGCAGGUUACUACUAAUAUAUUGACGCUGAUGGACGAAAGCGUGGGUAGCGAACAGGAUUAGAUACCCUGGUAGUCCACGCCGUAAACGAUGGAUACUAGCUGUUGGGCGCAAGUUCAGUGGCUAAGCGAAAGUGAUAAGUAUCCCACCUGGGGAGUACGAACGCAAGUUUGAAACUCAAAGGAAUUGACGGGGGCCCGCACAAGCGGUGGAGCAUGUGGUUUAAUUCGAUGAUACGCGAGGAACCUUACCAAGGCUUAAAUGUAGUUUGACCGGUUUGGAAACAGAUCUUUCGCAAGACAAAUUACAAGGUGCUGCAUGGUUGUCGUCAGCUCGUGCCGUGAGGUGUCAGGUUAAGUCCUAUAACGAGCGCAACCCCUGUUGUUAGUUGCCAGCGAGUCAUGUCGGGAACUCUAACGAGACUGCCAGUGCAAACUGUGAGGAAAGGUGGGGAUGACGUCAAAUCAUCACGGCCCUUACGCCUUGGGCU
rnacentral:rRNA from 1 species